UCUCCCUCUCUAAUCCUUGCUCGGUUUUGCUCGCUCAAGCGAGCAACUCCCUCUCAGAGAGAGCGUUUGGUUCUAUAAACCCUCGCUUCUCUGUUCAAGCGAGGGUUUUGCUCCCUCAAGCGAGCAACCAUCGUUCAGAGGGACCUUCGCUCGCAGAAGCGAGCAAUCGAUCUCUCGAGCCAGAUUCUUUUGAGAUGUCAUUCUCUGCAAGCGGUUAAAACGUAGUUUCACACGCUCACGCCCUUUUUUCUCAUUGAUUCAUUCCGUCAGAGAGGGGAGGGAAGAGGCGGGAGAAAGGAGGGCGGAAAAAUGCUGCACGAGGUUCUCCUUGCUUCUGCUGGGCCACACAGGGGAUUUCGUGAUCAAGCAGAGGGAUCAAUCCGGCGAGCUCGUGUUCAAACUAUCUCCCGAUCUUACCUUCGUUCAGCCUUCCUGAAGAUUAUGACUGAACCAAUAGAACAGAUGUUUAUAUAGGCAAGGAAGACGUGAAAGCUGCAGAAAAUGAAGGCAAUUCAUGAUGGUAAUUUUUUUGAGUAGGUGUUUCCUAGUUCUAUGCCUUAAAAGGACAAAUUAUGUACAUGAUUGGGGAAUACGCUGUUUAUACUAAAGCAACUAUUUUUUCUCUUAAAUCUUGCAACUUGAGGAUGACACCUCUAUUAACUUAUUUGAUAUGCCAUAUGUAUGGGUAUGUAAUGCCUGUCACAUUCCUCUAUCUGUAUUCUGUAGUGCUUGUCAAUCUUGUUAUAUGUACACUGGCAAUUGUGGGACACUGGCAAUUGUGGGACUUCUAUUCUGUUGCCAGUGCUUUCUUGAGGAGAGCCGCCGACUAAUGUGCCUUCCACCCCAUUAUUUAACUGCCGAAGCUGACCUAAUGGUUCCACUUCAUUUGUAACCGGACAAGGAACACCGCAAUUCUCCAACUCCCGCCUUUUAGUCCCCAAUCACUGUCUCUGGAAAUAUCAUCGGUCCCAGAGGCACGGCGGAUGUUGCCGGAAAGCAAGGGCUUUUUGCGAGGGAAUGCUUACUGUAACCAAAGAAUUCAGUCCUAUAUGGACCAGCCGCUCCUCCAUACUAGUGCUCGUGUCACCGAUGGAGGCAGGAGUGUCCAGACGAUCUGUGCGGGAACAAGCUUUGAGGAUUCGUUAUUCCUUUCGAUUUCUUCGGUGGAAUUGCGAAAGCGAAGGGUGAAUUUGAUGAAUUCAGAAACUAUUCCGGACUUCAACCCGUCAGAAGAUCGAUCAGUUAUGAAUAGAAGAGGCGAUAAAUAAUUGCUUCACAAAUCGGAUAAAUGGAAGCCGGGCAAGCCAAUGCGAAUGAGGCUGCGAAUUCAUGGAUUGGAAAACUGUAACCGCUAAAAUGGCCCUGUUUGUGAGCCUCUCUCUCUCUCUCUCUCUAUUUCGCUCUCGGCUUC